rnacentral:lncRNA from 1 species
UGGAGUUUGUUUCAGAAAAGAUGACAUGAAUCUCAGCAGAGCAGAAAGCCAGAAAGAGCAGGAACCGCAUGGUUGCCAUGGUGGUGAAGGAGCAAGCAAAUCAAGAAAACUGGUGUGUCUGUGAGGCUGAUCAGCUAGUAAGCAGAGGUCAAAAAAAGCACAUUUCUAUUUACCCCUGAUGGUCAAAAAAGCACUUCGCAAAGACUUCCCUCCACGCAGACACACCCUUCAAUUCAAUUCCUUCCACUCUACCAACUACACCACUUGAAGAUUUUUAUUUAAUGAGUCCUUGACAGCAUGCAUGCAUGUAUGUACGUGCGCAUGUACAAGUUCCGACCAAUUCAGAGCAAGUUUUGCUUUGAAAGUUUUGCGGAUGUACAAACAUAGUUAAGCAGAAACAACUCUCUCAUGAGCAAAGCUAGCAUCUUUCGAAUGGGAACAAAGCUACACAAUUCUGAAUGUACGCCUAAAGUCUCCACUUGCAUUGAUAUAAGAGAGAAUUCAACUAAGUCAUUCAAUGGGUACAUUUGGCUUUAGGCGAAAAUGGGUCCCAGAAGCUGACAUGAAAAUCAAGGCUCUCGGGGGUGCCCGGGACGUAUUCAUGGUUUGAUCCACUUUCAUGUUGAAUGGAUGAAAAGGUUUUCAUUUUCGUAAGAAAUGGAUCAAGACAAGAUGAUCGUUUUCACAAAACAAAAAUCUAAUUCAAACAGUCAAUUUCUAUGGUGCGAAGGGUCAAAGGUUAUUCUACAAAAGAUAAAAGUAUAUUUUUUGUGCCAAGGGGUCAAAGGUUAAUAAACAAACUAGCCACAAAUUGCCGUCUAGCCAUACCAAUAAGAACCUCAAUUGAAGUUUUACCAAUUUCAUAAAAAAUAUGAGCUACAUGAAUCAAAGACUUAAUAUCCGGCAACUCAAUUGAUUAAGAGCAUUUAAAUUUAAACCCGAGAUUUUGUGUUAGAUUCUCCUCUUUCCAGAGGACACAUUGGGACAAAUUCUACUUCAGUUUGGAUGGAAAAGAAUCCUUUGUGUCCCAAAGCAAACGUAGCCUGGCCUACAUCUGGCACACCUAAAAUUAUAGUAGCAAAACCAACCAUGAACAAUAAUUAUGAUAUCUUACAGCUUCUCCUAUUCCAGUUUCUGAAUUCAGUAUCCUUCCUUUCCUAGUGCCUUCAAUAGUGAGUUUGACCUAAUUACCUUUGAGAGGGCAAUCCCAAAGCUAAUAGAAUGUUAUGAAUCCUAUGAAACAAUUCAAUUGGGUAUCUCCUUAAAGUUGUAUCGAGGCAUUUUCAGAUAACAUCCAUACAACAUGAAAGGCCGAAGAUGACAUGUUUAAAAAAAUAUAUAUUAAAAAAUAAAAGAUUAAUGGAUUUAAUGUGGCUGUCGCUACUGUUGGAGUUAUGACUAUACAAUAAUACAAUGCCACGUAUGACAGGACAUAUUUGUCUGUAGGUUGGCUUCAUUCAUGGCGUCGAAGACGAAAGACAGAGACUAAUACAAUGCCAUGUAUGAUCGGGACAUAUUUGUAUGUGCGUUGAAGACGAAAGAAAGACUAGCGGAGUGAAGGGGUAAGAUUUUUUGUCAAAUGAUCAAAACCACACAAUCUCAAUUAAUUAUAGUUAGUCAGUUGGGCUGAGGCGUUUGCAUGCGGAACUUUCAAAAGCACGAGUUCAUGACAUUGGCUUGUUUGAUAGAAGAAGCUUCACCAAUUAAAAUCUGAUCACAUGUAAACAAAGAACAAAUGGGAUAUCAAGGAGAAAGAACAAAUCUAAUCACCAAUUAAGUUACACCUUGAGGCCCAACACUUUGUGGAAUAAAGAAGGGUUUUGAAGCCUAUUAAGGGGUCCUAUUUGUUUCCUUUUAUGCGUGAACCGAUUUGGUGGGCUUGGAAGAUAAGUCAAGUCGGCCCUUGGUAAUGAGUAGAGACGACUUGACCUAGCCCUAUAUAACCUUAAGGUCAUGCUCUCAUCAGACAUGUUCUCUAACCUAUUCUCAUCAUAAAGAGAGAGCUGAAACUAGUGGCGAAGCCAGAAUUUCAUGUGUGUGAGGGCAUCUUACAAAUUAUAAAGAAUCAAAAAUUCAAACUCACAAUACAUUUGAAAAAUAGUGUAUAUAUACAUUGUAAACUUAAGUAAAUGGAGUAAUAUAUUAAAGUAAAAGGGCAAAGACAUUCACUUAAGUGUUGAAAAUGGAAAUAAGGUAAUCUGUACACCUGGAGUGCACCGCCACCAGCUGAGCAAGGGGGCAAUUUGAAGUACCUCCUUGUACCCACUGGCGGACCUAGAAAUUUUUUAGCGGAGGUGCAAUAUUGACUAAGUAUGAAAAAUGGUUUUUUGGAAUAAUCAUUUUUUCAAGAUAAUUUUUGACGGCUUUUAUUCCUUAUACAUCAAAUAAGAAAACUUGAUUUUAUGGGAUUUUAGUAUGAAAUAUAUAUUAACUUAAUGAGCCACCAGCUGAGCAAAUGGGCAAUUUGAAGUACCUUAAUAGAUCCGCCACAAUACAUAAGGGUACAUAUCAAAAUGUAAAGUAUUUUAAAUAAUAUACAUAUAGAAAUACAUAACAGUAUAUUAUCUUUAAAAUAUAAAAAAAAAAAUGAGUAGGGGCCCGGGACCACAUUGGUCCCAGUGUCGCUCUGCCCCUGGCUGAAACAGAUUCUAAGAGAGAGCAGAACUCUUGAGCCGUUCCUGUUCUUGCUAGGAUUGUUGUUGCUACAGAUUGGAUGAGUUAAGAGGUUGUGUACUCUAGGAAGAUGGCUCCAGGUAUGUCUUCGUGUCUCUACGUAUUUCAGAUUGUGUGAAAGAUCUUGAAUAUCUAUAAUAUAGAAAUCUAAUAGUUGAUAUCAGAGCACAUGGUUAUUCACACACACUGAAAUCGUUGUUCAAGCAUGCCUACUCUUACUGUUUCUGUAUGCGAAUUUGUUUUUGUAUGCGAAUAGAUGCCGUGACAAAUAUCAUUACUGUUAUCACUUUUUGAUUUCAAUAUUGAUCUAGUGGUGGUAGAGUUGGCCCCGUAUUUGAACUGAAUCAAUUGAGGAAAUUGAAGAUUUCUAUAAAGGAAAGGCUACUUUUAUUCAGAAAACUCGAAAGGAUUGUCAACCAUUGAUGUGUGCAUGAAUGGUCGAGAAAACCCUUUUCAUUGUAUAUAUGAUAUUCUUUAAACAAACUAAACAAACAGAAUCCAGAUGGUAAAACUUGGGAAAAGCAGUGAGUCCUAACACAACACAAUUCUGAAGGUGAUCAUGGUACAAAACUCAAAGUAGUAAAAUUUCGAUGCCUUCUUUUAGGUCUUACUAGAACUUCCUUGCACCCAAUCCAAAAAAUAAAAUUAAAAAUAAGAAAAACUUUGUAGCAUUCGAGUUUGAAGCCCAUAGGAACAUUGUAACAUAACACACUAAAUUUCUAUUUGGCAAUUGAAAUGACAGACCACUAUAUAUUCUUUUCCUGUAUCUACUUACAUAUAUGGAUAGAGAAGAGAAGGUACAAUUACAAAAGAAGAAAUUAACUCUGCUGCAGGCCUUUGCUACUACUUGGGUUCAAUCUUCGCCGAAACUGCGUAUCCACCACUGUAAUCAAAGGCACCAGUGCUGUCAUUCACUUCCUUUUUCGGCAAGCCAUCGUUGUAUGGAUGCUUAGGAGCUCCUUUUGAUGCUGCAAAUUCUGUGGCUGAUGAAGAUGCGGAUGUUGAGUUUGUGUUCAUGCCAUCAUUCUGCAGAAUGGUUUCAAUAGCCUUCACAAGCUCACUCAUUGUGGGGCGGUCUGCAGCUGAUUCUUCAACGCAUUGCAGGGCCAGCUCCAGGAAUCUCCCAAACCCAAUAAGGGUUCCAGAGUUUCGAAUGCUUCGAUCCAUUAACUCCCUCAAACCAUAGUGUUCUUCAUCAUUCUUGUCCAUCAUCAAUCGUACCUCACGGACGAUGUAUUUUCCCUUCUCAAUAGGCUGCCUAGCCGUUAUCAAUUCAAGCAUCACCACUCCAAAGCUGUAUACAUCACUCUUCUCAGUUAACUGUUGAGUCAUGUAGUAUUCAGGAUCAAGAUAUCCCUGCAAGAACAAAUAGAAACUUAAAGAGUAAAAACUCAAGAGUGUGUCAAUGGGAUGAAUAUAUGUUGAAAUGCUAAUAACGUAAAGCUUACCAGUGUGCCUUUGACCUGAGUUGAGACAUGCCCUUUUCCACCGUCAGCUACCAGCUUGGACAAGCCAAAAUCUGCAACCUUGGCGGUUAAAUGUUCGUCUAAUAGAAUGUUGGUGGACUUGACAUCUCUGUGAAUUAUAGGAGGAUUUGCAAGCUCAUGUAGGUAAGCUAGUCCUCUUGCCGAGCCAAGAGUGAUGCGGAGUCUCCUCUUCCAAUCAAGAUGAAUACCAGAUCUCCCUGCAAUUCAUAUUUAAGCAAAGGUGAAGUUGGUAACUAUGUCUAUUGCAAACAAGUUAUCUCUAUGCAAUAUGAAAUAGCUGAGAGUAAAAUCUUUGAACUAACCUGACAAGCUUUCCCUGAGUGUUCCAUUAGGCAUAAACUCAUAAACCAGCAUCUGUUCUCCUUGUUCAAAACAAAAUCCCAAAAGGCCAACAACAUUUUUGUGAUGAACUCGCGAGAGCAACUCGAUUUCAGUCUUGAACUCAAGGCCACCCUGCAUUGAUCCUUGCUGAGCUCUUUUGAUGGCCACCACUUGUCCAUCAGAAAUCAUUCCCCUGUAAACCUAUGGACAACCAACCAAAAGGUUUUUAAAAAAAAAAAAAACAUCCUUUACCUUGAAGCAGAAUUUCAUAGAUGUUACUGAAAUACUUGAAUUAAUAUACCUUCCCAUAUCCGCCAGAUCCUAUCUCAUUACUGUCAGAGAAAUUAUUUGUGCACUUCUUAAGUUCAUCAUAAGAAAACCAUCUUGCUCCCUUUAACUGUGGUGCACCACCACUAUCUUUUCCGCUUGGUGCCCAAGAAGCUAGAAGAUAGAGGAGUGAUAUAAGCAAACCAACUUCUAAUGUCAAUGACAGAAUUUCAAUGUACCCAAUCAUAAACAACAAGAAUAAUUAAUUACCAAAAGGUCGGCUUAAUCCAAUGGCUCUUUCUGCACGUUUCUUUUGCCUGAUGGCAUAUAUUCCUACUACCACGAGGCCCAUUACAAGAACUACGCAACUAACUGAUAUCCCAAUAAUAACACCAGUGCCCAUAGAACUCUUAUUCCCACCUGAAACAAUUUUGGGUUUUUAUUGUCAGUUUAAUCAAUCUUCUAAUGCAGGGAAAUGGCAUGCGAAGUAACAAUGUGAUUUAAAUUACCUGGGAAAGUAUAAGGAGCUGGAAUAAAAUAAUAGGGUCCAAACUCCUCCGGUGGCUUGUAAGUUUGGUUGCUCAAAUCAAAACCAAUCCUUAUAAUCUCUGACCUAUUAAAAUAUAUUCCUGUAGGUGGAAAGAGUGCCAGAUGAAUUUGAAGAUAGUCAUUAAUGUCAAAGAAAGGGUUUUCAAGAGAAACGGAACCAGGAGUGAGGCCAAGUUUAUCCCAUAGACUCAUUUCUAGUGAGUGAAACGUAUUCACAUUUGACAAUUCCCUGAAAGAGGGUGCUCUGAAAUACAAUGUUCCUUCAAAAGGAUAUGCACAUUGACAACUCUGAGGGCUGAGCUUCUGAUUAUCGGGGCAUGUAAUGCGUGCACAAUUUGAGCUAGUAGUAUACGUUUCUGUAUCUUGUUGCGGAAGCUGACAGAAUGAAUUUGAGCUAGUUCCAUUGGUGCAAACUGGGUUCCCUACAAGUCUGCAAUAUUUAAAAAUGACAACUAAGAAUGGUGUUGAAAAAUAUACAACCAUAGAAAAUCAAGAUCAAGGCCCAUGAACUGUCUCACAUUAAUGUAUGUUUGUAUUCAUAACCCAGAGUUAUUUUAGGAAUCUGAUUGUUCUGCAGAUCAACAAGCUGCAGUUGUGGACUGAUGCUAUCACCCAAGUUCAAUGUAUCGUUAAACGCAUUGUUUUUCAGUUUCCUGUCAAGGGUUAGAAAAAAACAUGAAUGGCAAGUUUCCUAAAAUUACAGUCAAAACUUGAUGCUUUCUUCAGUAUUCUCCUUAAACUUACACUUGCUGCAAUGAUGCGAUGCCGAACAUCUUUUCUGGCACAGUCCCUUCAAGUGCUCCAAAUUCUAAAACGCUGUGUUCCAUAAAAGUAGAGAAUUUCAACAAAAAAUUACAACAAAUUUUCAGGGUGUCCUUUUCCAAGACUCAUUCAUAGAUACUAAGACAUUUUUGUGUAACCUCCUAAGGACUUACAUAGUGGUGAUUGAGGGUAAGUUCGAGAACCAAAGUGGAGCUUCUGAUGGGUCAAAUGAGUUGUUACUCAGGUCUCUGAAGUAAAAUCAUUAGGAUUUAUCAGUACAACAAAACAACAACUUGCAGGAAACUUGAAACUUGAAAUGACAGCUCCAUGCCACUACUCACACAUAAUUGAGGGAAAUCAUUCCAGUUAAGUCCGGUAGAGGGCCUGACAAAUUGUUGUGGGCCAAAUUUCUGGAAGAUAACAAAAACUCAUUUGAAAGAUGAUUAAGAAUAAUUAAGAUUAAGGUAACUGUUAACAGCACAUUAGAGUAUCCUCUUAGAGACUUGAUACUCACAGUUCAUUGACAUUUGUUAGGUUGCUGAUAUUUGAGGGGACAUUUCCUGUCAGAUCAUUUCUAUCAAGCCGACUGUUGCAAACAAGAAGGUUUUGAAUCCAAUAAGUGUGAAGAAGCAGAUACUUAUAUGUGAAAGAAUAACAAAAUGGAGCUGUUUUUGUACUCACAGAACCUCAAGAGUCUGAACGAGUGCUAUGGUUGAUGGAAUAUCCCCAGUAAAUUGAUUAUCAUCAAACAAACUGCAGUUGAAGAAUGACAAGCAGUUAGAUAAAUAAUAGUAUAGAACAUAAACUGAUAGAUGGCAUCUGGCCAACUUAAAAAAUGAUUGAUGGGAUCAACUUACAUGUGUAUCAGUAUCAUCUCAGAGCUGAAAAGUCUGGGUGGAAUGGUACCUGAAAGCUGGUUCUUGUUGAAAUGGCUGCAUGUCCAUAUUAUCAGUUUAAUGUUUAUGCAAUAAUCCCUAUUAGAAUUUCAUUUUUUCACAAUGGAGAGAGUUUGGGAAAUGGAAAAAAUACUUACAAAUGUUUAGCCUUCAAUAGUUUGUCUAAGCCCGAGGUAACGGGGGUUGAAAUUGGUAGAGUUCCAGUCAACUGAUUGUCUGCCAGGUCCAACCAGAAAAGUUUGGAGAGUUUACCCAAAGAAGGAGGUAUUUUACCAGUAAAGUUAUUCGUAUUCAGAGCCCUGAAAAGAACAAAAGAUUUAUAUAAAGUUGGGAAAGAAAAAACUUAAAAUGGUUUGCACUAACAGUAUGAUUAUCAAUUCAAUUCUUACAAGAAAGUUAGCUCUCCAAGAUUGCCCAAUUCAUCUGGAAUAUUGCCACUGAAGCCGCAGCCAGCUAGGAUCCUAAAAGAUGAAAAGAGUCUUGUAUACUUAUCCAAUAUAAAAUCUUAUAUUGCAUAUACAAAGUUCAAACGGUGCAAAUAUGAAAAUUGCUUCUCAAUUUGUUCUUACAGGAUAUUUAACUUGCUCAGAUCUCCUAAUCGUGGAGACAGAGAACCCGUGAGGCCUUUGUUGAAUGAAAGGUCCCUGCAAUGUUAACGUUUCUACUUCGUUACAAAAAGGAUGCCAUGCUAAUCAAAGAUUGAGUGAUAACAAAAUAAUUGAUGCUGCAAAAGAAAUAUGUUUUAUGCAUAUGUUUACAUACUGAAUCUGUUGCAUUGCAUCUGGGUUCAAUUCAUAAUGUGCUGCAAACAUAAUGCUGGUACAAAGAGGAGCAAUUAUACUCACAAGGAUCUUAAUUCAGAGAGUCCCCCGAUAUCGCCUUCAAUAUGUCCUUUCAAGUCCAUUGCUGAUAAUCCCCUGCACAUAAAAAAGUGCAAGGUUGAAAAUUUGUGUAAGAAAGUAAGUCACCAAUGCCCAGAACUACAAGGAUCCCAUGAAAAUUCAAAGAUGAACAAUGCUCACAAUGCGGUCACCCUCGAAUUGUUGCAGGUGACUCCUUCCCAGCUCAUUCCACAGGGAUCAUUUGACUUCCAGCUGGGUGGAAGAUUCGUCCAUGCCCCCUUCAAGGAUAUGAAAACAGCAGCUGGACCAACAGACUUACAAAUCAAUCUACUACCUUAACACAAAGUUUGUACACACCUAUGUGCAGGAUAUUCAACUUACAAUCAAAAUUUAGCAAAAACAUUAAGAAAAGCUUGCAUUAAACACCAACUAAAAUGACUAAUUACCAAGUUUGCAUGCAAAAACAUGAGAAACAGGAGGAUCAACAUGAUAUUGCAAAGUCUUUCCUAAGUCAACGCAUAUCCAGGCCAAAGCUCAAACUACCAAAACCCCAAUUUCCCAUUAACUAGGAAAUCAAUAAUGGACAAAUAAACAUUUAGAUUUGAGACCAUACCAUCACCGGGGUCUGUUUCAGAAAAGAUCAUAUGAAUCCCAGCAGAGCAGAAAGCCAGAAAGAGCAGCAACCGCAUGGUUGCCAUGGUGGUGAAGGAGCAAGCAAAUCAAGAAAACUGGUGCCUCUGCGAGGCUGAUCAGCUAGUAAGCAGAGGUCAAAAAAAGCACAUUUCUAUUUACCCCAGAUGGUCAAAAAAGCACUUCCAAAGACUACCCUCCACACAGACACACCCUUCAAUUCAAUUCCUUCCACUCUACCAACUACACCACUUUAAGAUUUUUAUUUAAUGAGUCCUUGACAGCAUGCAUGCAUGUAUGUACAU